UAGGGAAUUUUCCACAAUGGGCGAAAGCCUGAUGGAGCAACGCCGCGUGCAGGAUGAAGGCCUUAGGGUUGUAAACUGCUUUUAUCUGUGACGAAUAUGACGGUAGCAGAUGAAUAAGGAUCGGCUAACUCCGUGCCAGCAGCCGCGGUCAUACGGAGGAUCCAAGCGUUAUCCGGAAUUACUGGGCGUAAAGAGUUGCGUAGGUGGCAUCGUAAGCGGGUAGUGAAAGCGUGUGGCUCAACCAUACUCACAUUAUUCGAACUGCGAAGCUAGAGGGCGAGAGAGGUUACUGGAAUUCUCAGUGUAGGAGUGAAAUCCGUAGAUAUUGGGAGGAACACCGAUGGCGUAGGCAGGUAACUGGCUCGUCCCUGACACUAAGGCACGAAAGCGUGGGUAGCAAACGGGAUUAGAUACCCCUGUAGUCC
rnacentral:rRNA from 1 species